ACGUAGGGGACGAGCGUUGUCCGGAUUUACUGGGCGUAAAGGGCGCGUAGGCGGUCAUUUAAGUCAGCUGUGAAAUGGUUUGGCUUAACCGGAUCAUGCGGUCAAAACUGGAUGACUGGAGUGCUGGAGGGGAAAGUGGAAUUACCAGUGUAGCGGUAAAAUGCGUAGAGAUUGGGAAGAACACCGAUGGCGAAGGCGACUUGCUGGCCAGUAACUGACGCUGAGGCGCGAAAGCGAGGGGAGCAAACGG
rnacentral:rRNA from 1 species